rnacentral:lncRNA from 1 species
CAAAGUAGGAAGACCAACUAAAUGUAUCUAUGUAUUAUUUGUAAGAGUAGGGUUGGAAAAUAGCAUCACAUGUAAAUAAAACCUAGUCAUAUCUAUCUAGCAUCUGUUUACAGUAACUCAAGGAAGUUUCAGCCUUAUCAGUCGUUAAAUCUCCGUGUUACUUUGCACACUUUCUCUAGCGAUGCUCACAUCUAAGAAUACCAUACUGUCUGUAACUUUGAAAGAAGAAGUGUGUAGAGUUACACAGUGUCUGAAACUUUGUGCCAUCAUCACAUUGAGGUCGGAAACUUUUCAACCCAUCCUCGUAUAUUAAAGUGGGUCGAAAUGCAGAAUUUGAGAAAUCAAUGAUGGGGAUUAUGAGGAAAUGUGUGAAGGGCUAUUGUGUGCAAAAUGUCAAGAAGAAUCAGUGGUUUUCUCAAUUCAAUAUAAUCUUUUUAAGACAUAUUUUGUGUAUUGAAAAAGUAUAUAUUUUUCCCAAUAUUCCCAAUUAUGGUCUUAAAUUGGAUUUCUAGAGAAAUUGGACUGGUGAUACGAACUUAAAGUAUGGGGUCUUAUUCAUCUUUAUGCAUCAAGAGCAAACAACAAUUAUAAAUCAGCACCAAUACCUAUCAAAUUGUUAUUCCUCAUAAAAAUAAGUUGAAUAGGCUUGUCUUUACGAUAGAGUGAAUAAUAACAUUUAGUCUUCCUCACAAAAUACAUUAAUUAUAUCAAAAUAUGGUCAUUUUAAAUGUUAUGUUGUAUUGUGGAACCUCUGAAGCUUCUUCCUCCAUCUCAGAUUCUUCACAAACUAUUUAAAUACCAAUACCCAACUUUUCCUGAAACCCAAAUUUCAAAAUUCGAAAAAGUGGAUCAUACUCCUAUUUAAAAAAAACCACCCUAAUUUAUAAAUCGAUAAUAUUGUAUUUUAUAUUGAUUGUAUAUAUUUCUAUGUAAAUAUGUAAACCAUAUACUAUAUACCCAUGGUCCAUUGAAAUCUAAACAUUUACUAAUUCAAUAAUUAAUGAUGGUUCAGUGAUUGAAAUUAAUUCAUAUUUAGAUAUAUAACCAUUAAUAUUUAGUUCCUAGGCAAAACCAACCGGAGCUCCCGAGCUUACAUACAAGUCGAGAAAAUGACACUUGAAUGUGAUCAACGAAUUUACUAUUAGCGGAGUCUAAGCAACUGCACGUCUCCAGGACCACCAUCUACGUUGUUAGUAACGUAGGGGAGGAAGAAGGGCUUUGUCAAAAAGGCCAAACUAGACCGGUAGGGGUUAAUGUAAGUAGCCCAGGUCAAUCCUUUUCAUAUCCAUGAGGGCCCAUAAUAGAGGUGUUGGUAUUUCACACCAGACUGCCCAGAGAGCUAUUAAAACAAGUGUAUGGGAAGAGCCUUGUGAAUGUGAAGAGGCCACUUUUGACACCAGCAAUGAAAGAAACCAAUCUCCUCCGUUGCAAGACUCUUUUGAAUGUAUUUUAAAUGAGUCUUUUGAACUCGUUUUUGACGGUUUUUGCCCCAUUACAGCCCUGAUGUCACUGUCAGCCAGCACUGGGACGCUAUGGGAGAGGAUUACAUCCCCAGCGGGUGCCAGGCCUUCCAACGCCGUCUGUAAGCCAUCAUUGCCACUAAGGGUGGCUACAUUAAUGAUUAAGUGAG